rnacentral:misc_RNA from 1 species
AGGCAAUGCUCAAAUUUAAGAAUUAAUUAAUUAAAAAUAAAAACCAUUGUUAAUGUUUCUGCAUCUUAAAUAAAUACGUCGCUCUCGAAUCUCUUUCUCGCUUCAACAGACACAGGGCAAAAUCCACUUUCAAUUUCGAUUCUCUGUUCAAAUGUGGAGUCUUCGUCUACAUACGUACUUCGUAGAGUUCCUUUUGCAGCCCUAAAACUGACAUCUGUUGCCUUGAGCGCACAAACACACAGAGAUUCCGCCACCUCUUCAAUGUCUUCUACCUUCAGUCCUUCCCGGAACAGCCACGGCAGUUCCCGGCUGCAGCUGCACCAGCUCGCCGCUUUUGGUAGCGCUUCUCGCCUGAGAUCAUCUUCUCUCAAGAAGCCUCCCGAGCCCCUCCGCCAUGCUAUCGCUGAUUGCCUCUCAUCCGCUGCUGCUUCUGCCGUCGCCAUCUCUCACCAUGCGAAUCCCUCCGUCGCUGUCACUGAAGCUUCGAGAACUCUUCGCGAUUAUCUUGCAUCACCUGCAACA